rnacentral:tRNA from 1 species
AGAAAGUUAGUCUAACCAAGACAGUUGAUUUCGACUCAACAAAUUAUAGUUAAACCCUAUAACUUUCUC